AGAGGCAUGUGACCUGGCUUAACCAAUAAGCGAGGAAGGAUUUCUUCACGCUUCAGCUAUUUACACAAUAACAAACCAACAUGGCAGAGCGUAAGCAGUCGAAGACGAAGAAAAGAAGGAAACGAUAUUCACAAGAAUUAAGAUGUAUUGUACAUUUAGAUUCAGUAUCAUCAGAAUACAUUCAGCCCAUGACAGACAUACGCUGGAAAAGAAUAUCAGAAUGUGCCAAGGAAUGGCAAAAUUUAGAUGGUUUUGACCGUAGCCUUGUGGAAACAUCAAGGCACUUAUUUGAAGGACUGUUACGUAAAGCUGCGGAAGCAAAGUCAGAUGAGAGUGUCUUAAUACACAUAAAGAGACAAGGACUGUUUAGCUAUUGAGGUGCACUAUCAUCGUUCUUGCUACAAGCAGUACACUCGCUUUUUAACCAGAAAAGUUGAUGCUAAAAUAACCGAUGAGGACCACCAAUAUGACAAGUCGUACAAAAUUUUCUUUGAGAUAAUCAUCCAGCAACGAAUUAUCAAGAACCAUGAGAUUUUAAGGAUGACCAAGUUACUUCAGUUGUUUUCAAAAUUUGUUAAAAAGCAUGAAGGGCUUGAAAUGACAAAUUACAGAACUGAUCAACUUAAGUACCGUUUAAGGAAGGACUUUCCACAGUUAUGCUUCCCUCCCCUGCCCCUCCCCUGACGGUUUUUAC